GGAGACUUCACUAGUCUCCUUAGUGUCUUAUCAUUUAGGGGGGGUGGAGACUUCACUAGUCUCCUUGGUGUCUUAUCAUUUAGGGGGGUGGAGACUUCACUAGUCUCCUUAGUGUCUUAUCAUUUAGGGGUAGUGGAGACUUCACUAGUCUCCUUAGUGUCUUAUCAUUUAGGGGGUGGAGACUUCACUAGUCUCCUUAGUGUCUUAUCAUUUAGGGGUAGUGGAGACUUCACUAGUCUCCUUAGUGUCUUAUCAUUUAGGGGUAGUGGAGACUUCACUAGUCUCCUUAGUGUCUUAUCAUUUAGGGGUAGUGGAGACUUCACUAGUCUCCUUAGUGUCUUAUCAUUUAGGGGGGUGGAGACUUCACUAGUCUCCUUAGUGUCUUAUCAUUUAGGGGUAGUGGAGACUUCACUAGUCUCCUUAGUAUCUUAUCAUUUAG
rnacentral:lncRNA from 1 species